AGUGAACGCUGGCGGUAGGCCUAACACAUGCAAGUCGAACGGCAGCACAGUAAGAGCUUGCUCUUACGGGUGGCGAGUGGCGGACGGGUGAGGAAUACAUCGGAAUCUACUUUUUCGUGGGGGAUAACGUAGGGAAACUUACGCUAAUACCGCAUACGACCUACGGGUGAAAGCAGGGGAUCUUCGGACCUUGCGCGAUUGAAUGAGCCGAUGUCGGAUUAGCUAGUUGGCGGGGUAAAGGCCCACCAAGGCGACGAUCCGUAGCUGGUCUGAGAGGAUGAUCAGCCACACUGGAACUGAGACACGGUCCAGACUCCUACGGGAGGCAGCAGUGGGGAAUAUUGGACAAUGGGCGCAAGCCUGAUCCAGCCAUACCGCGUGGGUGAAGAAGGCCUUCGGGUUGUAAAGCCCUUUUGUUGGGAAAGAAAAGCAGCAGGUUAAUGUCCCGCUGUUCUGACGGUACCCAAAGAAUAAGCACCGGCUAACUUCGUG
rnacentral:rRNA from 1 species